UAUGUUUCUAGCUUCAGUCGUUCCCAAGAGGACAGCGGGGGAGCCCAGGUAGGGGAUCAAGGUAAAUGGUCUAGGUCAUUACAGCAAUGUCGAGUAAGCUUGUGAGGCCUUAAAUUCGAGCCAAGGGGACCAAGUUGUCGUAAACCUUUGGUUCGUCUCCGGUGUCACCCGCAAUUCCUCCAUAGUCAUAUACCAAUCUACUCUGGCGACCCACUCCCUCACGGUAGGAGGAUUAGUCGAUCGCCAGUGAACCGGAAUGACCGCUUUGGCUGCGCUAUUGAGAAACUUUAAUAGAGAUUUUUUAUAUGUUGACAGGGGCCAUGAAGUACAGUUGAGAAGCCAGAAAGUAGGCUCCGAAGGAACCCCUGGAUCCACUAACAAUUUUGAAAUUUCUAUAACCUUGUCCCAGAAGAGACGAAGUUCGGGGCAGCUCCACCAGAUAUGCAUCGGGGAGCCCGGAUGGUUGUUACAUCUCCAACAUGCAUCUGGUGUCUCUCUUCUUUGUUUUUGCCUUCACAUUUUGAGUGCCAAAGUAGGCCAGAUUUCAUUUGAAUUUUCUCAAAAAGGGAUCCUUUAUUUUCGGAUCAGAUCCUGUCCCUGAAUGCUAAGUUCCCUGGGAACUACCAUGAUGCCCAUGUCAUUAGACAAUCAGGGAUAUGGCAAAGAUUAAGAAGAUGGAAGGCCAAGACAUGUGGCUAUU